rnacentral:rRNA from 1 species
GACGAACGCCGGCGGCGUGCUUAACACAUGCAAGUCGAACGAUGAAACCUAGCUUGCUAGGUCGAUUAGUGGCGAACGGGUGAGUAACACGAGACUAACCUGCCCCUUUCUCUGGGAUAACGCUCCGAAAGGAGUGCUAAUACCGGAUACUCACAUCGAGGCACAUACCUUGAUGUGGAAAGUUUUUCGGAAAGGGAUGGAGUCGCGGCCUAUCAGCUUGUUGGUGAGGUAACGGCUCACCAAGGCGACGACGGGUAGCCGGCCUGAGAGGGGGACCGGCCACACUGGGACUGAGACACGGCCCAGACUCCUACGGGAGGCAGCAGUGGGGAAUAUUGCACAAUGGGCGCAAGCCUGAUGCAGCGACGCCGCGUGAGGGAUGAAGGUCUUCGGAUUGUAAACCUCUUUCAGUAGGGACGAAGCGAAAGUGACGGUACCUAAAGAAGAAGCACCGGCUAACUACGUGCCAGCAGCCGCCGUAA